rnacentral:rRNA from 1 species
UACGUAGGGUGCGAGCGUUAAUCGGAAUUACUGGGCGUAAAGCGUGCGCAGGCGGCGCGUUAAGACAGGUGUGAAAGCCCCCGAGCUUAACUUGGGAAUUGCGCUUGUGACUGGCGUGCUGGAGUGUGGCAGAGGGAGGUGGAAUUCCACGUGUAGCAGUGAAAUGCGUAGAGAUGUGGAGGAACACCGAUGGCGAAGGCAGCCUCCUGGGCCAGCACUGACGCUCAUGCACGAAAGCCAGGGGAGCGAACGGG